GUGAGGAAUUUUCCGCAAUGGGCGAAAGCCUGACGGAGCAAUGCCGCGUGAAGGAUGAAGGCCUAUGGGUUGUAAACUUCUUUUCUCAGAAAAGAAUUAUGACGGUAUCUGAGGAAUAAGCAUCGGCUAACUCUGUGCCAGCAGCCGCGGUAAGACAGAGGAUGCAAGCGUUAUCCGGAAUGAUUGGGCGUAAAGCGUCUGUAGGUUGUUUAAAAAGUAUUCUGUCAAAGAUUAGGGCUUAACCCUAGAUAGGCAGAAUAAACUUUUAAGCUAGAGUUUGGUAGAGGCAGAGGGAAUUCCCGGUGGAGCGGUGAAAUGUGUAGACAUCGGGAGGAACACCAAAGGCGAAGGCACUCUGCUGGGCCAAUACUAACACUGAGAGACGAAAGCGAGGGGAGCAAAUGGGAUUAGAAACCCGGGUAGUCC
rnacentral:rRNA from 1 species